rnacentral:rRNA from 1 species
CACGUGAGAAUUUGCCUUUAGGAGGGGAGUAACAGAGUGAAACGACUGCUAAUACCCACUAUGCUUUCGUAGUGAAAUAGGAUUUAAUUUCGCCUAAAGAAGAAGCUCGCGGCUGAUUAGCUUGUUGGUAAGGUAAUGGCUUACCAAGGCGACGAUCAGUAUCUGGUUUGAGAGGACGAUCAGACACACUGGAACUGAGACACGGUCCAGACUCCUACGGGAGGCAGCAGUGGGGAAGUUUUCCGCAAUGGGCGAAAGCCUGACGGAGCAAUACCGCGUGAGGGAUGACGGCCUAUGGGU